rnacentral:rRNA from 1 species
CGCACGGGUGAGUAACGCGUAUGCGACCUGCCCGUUGCAGGGGGGAUAAUCGGGAGAAAUCCCGUCUAAUACUGCGUAACGCCGCGGGGCUGCAUGGCCCUGCGGCCAAAGGGAGCGAUUCCGGCAACGGAUGGGCAUGCGUGACAUUAGCUAGUUGGCGGGGCAACGGCCCACCAAGGCGACGAUGUCUAGGGGUUCUGAGAGGAAGGUCCCCCACACUGGUACUGAGACACGGACCAGACUCCUACGGAAGGCAGCAG